GUUUAAUUCGAAGCAACGCGAAGAACCUUUACCAGGUCUUGACAUCCUCUGCCACCUCUAGAGAUAGGAGCGUUCCCCUUCGGGGGACAGAGUGACAGGUGGUGCAUGGUUGUCGGUCAGCUUCGUGUUUCGUGAGAUGGUUGGGUUAAGUCCCGCAACGAGCGCAACCCUAGAUUCUUAGUUGCCAGCAUUCAGUUGGGCACUCUAAGGAGACUGCCGGUGACAAACCGGAGGAAGGUGGGGAUGACGUCAAAUCAUCAUGCCCCUUAUGACCUGGGCUACACACGUGCUACAAUGGACGGUACAAAGGGCAGCAAAACCGCGAGGUCGAGCCAAUCCCAUAAAACCGUUCUCAGUUCGGAUUGUAGGCUGCAACUCGCCUACAUGAAGCCGGAAUCGCUAGUAAUCGCGGAUCAGCAUGCCGCGGUGAAUACGUUCCCGGGCCUUGUACACACCGCCCGUAAUCGGAUCCCGGGCCCGUCGACUGCAGAGGCCUGCAAUGCAAGCUUUCCCUAUAGUGAGUCGUAUUGGGAAUUGGC
rnacentral:rRNA from 1 species